CCGCAGUGGACCUUUUCUGUGUUUUUUAAAUCCCAUGUUGGACCGAGCCUCUAGAGGCUUUGGGCCAUCAGAAGAUGCUGAUGAGAUCUACAGCGACCAAAGCCAAGCUGCUGACCUUCACAAAGAGAGAGCAUGUUCAACACUGUGGACGUCCAAAAGCAGAAGUCCUGUGAGGAAGCGGGACAUCCAGGGUGGUGAGGAGCUUCCCAGUCUCUCCAACAUUCUGGAGUCCUGGACUGAAUAAAGACCCUGCAGCUAAACCAUCAAUCUGCUACACCCAGUAGAAGAAGAGAGGCCAGCUGCUCCUUGGACCGGAGCCUCUGUGUCUGUUGGACGUCUGCUGUCCUGUUAAAGACCCACUCGGCCGCAGUAGAUGGGCGCUGACAUGGAGCUGCUGCUGGAGGUUCCUUCCUGCUUAAAGCUAGUUUUCCUCUCUACUGUCACCACUUCAUUACUCAGGAGGAGGGACUGCUGCAAGAUUAAUGAAGGGAUGUAAUUGGCGGAUCUUCUUUGGAUUUAAGACGUUUCUCUAAACGCCAUAAUAAACUAAAUUUAUCUUCACCAUGUUGUAAAUUAGAUCUAACUGGAUGUUUGUGAUGUUUUUAAUUCUGUUACACGUCUCUUUAUUAAAACUGUCAUGUAAAUUGCCUUAAAAUGACAUCUGCUGGGUCUUGGUUCUAUUUUACAAGACUGAAUUAUAUUAAAUCCCCCCUACUGGGUCUGGUUUUGUUGAAGGAUCCUUCCUGUCAUUCUAUCUUUACCUGUUAUUUAUCACUAUAAUAAAGGUUUUAUCCAAGUCAUG